CAGCACAAGCUUCAGGAGGAUUUAUAACUCUGUUUUUAUAAGAACUUUAUAACUCUGAGAAUCUGAACCAACAGCAACCAUGAGCUUCAUCACCAUCUUCAUCUGGAUAUUAACUAUCUACUGUUUCACAGAAUCAAGAGGUGAAGUGACAGUCACUCAGACGCCUGCAGUGAAAUCUGUUCGUCCAGGAGACUCAGUUACUGUAUCCUGUAAAACCAGUCCUGACGUCUAUCAGGGUUGGAGUAAUCAACCUCUACACUGGUACUUACAGAAACCUGGAGAAGCUCCUAAACUCCUGAUUUAUUUAGCAAGCACCCUCCAGUCAGGAACUCCAUCUAGAUUCAGUGGCAGUGGAUCUAACAGUGAUUUCACUCUGACCAUCAGUGGAGUCCAGACUGAAGAUGCUGGACAUUAUUACUGUCAGAGUUUCCACUAUCCAAACAGUCAAUAUGUGUUCACACAGUGAUAAAGAGUCGUACAAAAACCUCCGUCAGUCAGAGUCACAGUGACUGAACUGAUACUGCAGCUGCUCACACACUUUCACACAC